CAGUCGCCGCGGUAAUACGAAGGGGGCUAGCGUUGCUCGGAAUCACUGGGCGUAAAGGGUGCGUAGGCGGGUCUUUAAGUCAGAGGUGAAAUCCUGGAGCUCAACUCCAGAACUGCCUUUGAUACUGGAGAUCUCGAGCUCGGGAGAGGUGAGUGGAACUGCGAGUGUAGAGGUGAAAUUCGUAGAUAUUCGCAAGAACACCAGUGGCGAAGGCGGCUCACUGGCCCGAUACUGACGCUGAGGCACGAAAGCGUGGGGAGCAAACAGGAUUAGAUACCCGGGUAGUCCCUGUCUCUUAUAC
rnacentral:rRNA from 1 species